rnacentral:rRNA from 1 species
GACGAACGCUGGCGGCGUGCUUAACACAUGCAAGUCGAACGGAAAGGCCCUGCUUUUGUGGGGUGCUCGAGUCGCGAACGGGUGAGUAACACGUGAGUAACCUGCCCUUGACUUUGGGAUAACUUCAGGAAACUUGGGCUAAUACCGGAUAGUAGCUCCUGCUGCAUGGUGGGGGUUGGAAGGUUUCGGCGGCUGGGGAGGGACUCGCGGGUUAUCAGCUUGUUGGUGGGGUAGUGGCCUACCACGGCUUUGACGGGUAGCCGGCCUGAGAGGGUGACCGCCCACAUUGGGACACUGAGACGGCGCAGUCUCCUACGGGGGGCAGCAGAGUGGAAUAUUGUACAAUGGGCGGGCGCCUGAUGCAGCGACGCCCCGUGCGGGAUGACGGCCUUCGGGUUGUAAACCGCUUUCGCCUGUGACAAAGCGUGAGUGACGGUACUGGGUAAAGAAGCACCGGCUAACUACGUG